rnacentral:rRNA from 1 species
CUACGGGGUGCUCCAGUGAGGAAUAUUGCACAAUGGAGGAAACUCUGAUGCAGCAACGCCGCGUGGAGGAUGACGCAUUUCGGUGUGUAAACUCCUUUUAUAUGUCAAGAAAAUGACGGUAGCAUAUGAAUAAGCACCGGCUAACUCCGUGCCAGCAGCCGCGGUAAUACGGAGGGUGCAAGCGUUACUCGGAAUCACUGGGCGUAAAGGACGCGUAGGCGGGAUAUCAAGUCAGGUGUGAAAUCCUACAGCUUAACUGUAGAACUGCACUUGAAACUGGUAACCUAGAGUAUGGGAGGGGGAGAUGGAAUUAGUGGUGUAGGGGUAAAAUCCGUAGAUAUCACUAGGAAUACCUAAAGCGAAGGCGAUCUCCUGGAACAUAACUGACGCUAAGGCGUGAAAGCGUGGGGAGCAAACAGGAUUAGAUACCCCUGUAGUC